GGCAGUGGUGGCUCAGCGGUUAAGACAUUGGACUGCUGCUUGGAUGGUUGAGUUCAAAUCCCAGCACUGUCA